CCUACGGGAGGCUGCAGUGAGGAAUAUUGGUCAAUGGCCGAGAGGCUAAACCAGCCAAGUCGCGUGAGGGAAGACUGCCCUACGGGUUGUAAACCUCUUUUGUCGGGGAGCAAAGCGAGGCACGUGUGACCCAUUGAGAGUACCCGAAGAAAAAGCAUCGGCUAACUCCGUGCCAGCAGCCGCGGUAAUACGGAGGAUCCGAGCGUUAUCCGGAUUUAUUGGGUUUAAAGGGAGCGUAGGUGGAUUGUUAAGUCAGUUGUGAAAGUCUGCGGCUCAACCGUAAAAUUGCAGUUGAAACUGGCAGGCGUGAGUGCAGUAGAGGUAGGCGGAAUUCGUGGUGUAGCGGUGAAAUGCUUAGAUAUCACGAAGAACACCGAUUGCGAAGGCAGCUCACUGGACUGCAACUGACACUGAGGCUCGAAAGUGUGGGUAUCAAACAGGAUUAGAUACCCCUGUAGUC
rnacentral:rRNA from 1 species